AUGUGUGUAGAUGCUUUGGCUAACAAGAAUAACAGAGAACAGUACACUGUCGAAGACAAGCGUAAUAUUUACGCUAUGCUGCUUGCUCGAAAUGGAGAGCGUGGAAGGUUAAAGAAGGGGGUUUUGGAUUCUGUUGUACGUGAUGGAAAUUGUUCUCGGAGGUGCGCGAGUAAGAUUUGGAAAGAAACAAAGACAGGAGGUGGCGUUAACUCUAUCAAGAACAAUUUGAAGUUAAAAACGGGAAGGAAGAAAAUGAGUUUGGAUAUUGAGGCAUUAGAAGCCAUUCCACCUGGUGAGAGGACCACAAUUCGACAAGUUGCUGCUGGACUUAACAUGUCCAAAAGCACAGUUCACCGUAGGUUGAAGGAGAAGGUAAUGAGACGAGUUUCAAAUGAACUGAAACCUUCAUUAACUGAAGCCAACAAGAAGGCACGUGUGGCGUAUUGCCUUGAGAAUUUGGAGCCAAGUUCAUUGGAGGACAAUCCCACUUUUAAAGCUAGUUUUAACAAGGUUCAUUUGGAUGAGAAGAUCUUCUACCGUACAAGGAAGACACAGAAAAUGUACUUGAGUCAUAGAGAGGAAGCACCAAAAAGAGAAUGCAAACAUAAAAACCACAUCCCGCAGAUCAUGUUCUUGUCGGCUAUGGCAAGGCCAAGGUAUGAUUCUCAAGGAAAUUGUGUGUUUGAUGGAAAAAUAGGUGUGUGGGCAUUUGUUGAUUGGGUGCAAGCUCAAAAGAAGAGUGCUAACAGAGGGAGAGGAGAAUGGGAGCUCAAGCCUUCAUCUUCAGUGGACAGGAACAAAAGUAGGGAGUACAUUGUGCAGUAUGUACUGCCUGCUAUAAAGGAAAAAUGGCCUGAGAGUGAUAGAUGGAACACCGUGUGCAUUCAGCAAGACAAUGCAAGAACUCAUGUUUUAGCAAAUGAUCCCAUUUUUGCAAUGGAAGCGGCAAAGGGAGGUUGGGAUAUCAGAAUUGUAAAUCAACCACCAAAUUCACCUGACUGUAACAUACUUGAUCUUGGGUGGUUUGCCUCCAUUCAAUCUAUGUUCCAUAGGAAAAUGCCCAAAACCCUUCCAGAGAUUGUUCAGAAGGUUAAUGAAAGCCUUGCUCAGUACCCACAUCGUAAGCUUAAUAGAAUCUGGUUAAGCCAUCAAGCUUGUAUGAGGGAAAUUAUUAAGCACAAUGGGUCGAUGCACUAUGAUACACCUCACAUGAAGAAAAAAACAUUAGAGAGGCUAGGUCUACUGUCGGUCCGUCUGACGGUUGAUAAAGAUUAUGUUGACGCUGCCAUUGAGUAUUUGAACUCACCUUAG
rnacentral:rRNA from 1 species